rnacentral:miRNA from 1 species
AGCACCCAACUGGCAGCCAUUGAGCUGGGGAUUUAUUUAGCACUUACUUCUAGAGUGUUUGCUAUGUGCCAGGCACUGUUUUGAGUGCUUU